rnacentral:lncRNA from 1 species
GUGGGGCUCAGCUGCUCCCCUGCUGAGAGUGGUGCUUGCUCUGCGCCUUGGGAAUGCUCUCCUUCCAGCUCCAAGCCAGGAAAAGGUGGAGGUGGACACCGCCUGCGGUGGUCAGGCACUGCAAUGGGCUGCCCAGAGAGGUGGUGGAGUCGCCGAGCCUGGAGGUGUUCAAAGAGCGCUUGGAUGUUGUGUUGAGGGACAUGGUUUAGCGGGAACCAUUGGUGAUGGGCGAACGGUUGGAAUGGGUGAUCCUGUGGGUCUUUUCCAACCUGAGCGAUUCUAUGAUUUAACAGCCCCAUAUGGCCAGUGUGUAAAGCCAGUGGGGAAUGGAGGCUGAUGGUAGAUUACCGUGGCCUGAAUGAAGUCACACCUCCACCGAGUGCUGCUGUGCUGGACGUUAGAACUCCAGUAUGAACUGGAGUUGAAAGCAGCCAAGUGGUAUGCCACCACUGACAUUGCUUGGGUCUUUCCAGCCUCCGGGAAGGGCAGAUCUCUCUGUGGAAUGGUUUUUGUUUGGGGACUUGGGUCCACUUGGUGGGUGAUGCAGAAAGAUGGGGAUGUUCAAUGUGUACCACAAGGGAAUCUGAUGCUGGGGGAGUGCAGUCAGUAAUUCCACGUGUAUAUAUAUAUAUGUAUAUAGAUAUGUGUGUGUGUAAUGCAUGUUAAUUGCUGUUUGUUUGUAUAUAUGUAUAUAUUUAGCAUGAGUGAUGUGGAAUAAGGGGUGGAACGUCACGGCUUUAUGAUUUUUGUUUCCACGUCAUAACAUCAUGUAACGCACGGGGAGUUAAAGAGUUAAUGCCCCACUUCCAUGGACCGCCAGCUUUCCGGAUUCCAGGCUCUCAGAAGAGAACUGCAUGCCCCAGAGGACUUUGUGUUCAAAGGAGAAGAUCAGACCCACAAGUCAUGGGACUCACUCCCUCUGUUGCUGCCCUGCAGUGUGUGGUUGUGCUCCUCAGCCGUUUCACCUUCAGUUCAGAGUAAGGCCUUCAGUUUCUGACACUCUCUCUCUCAUUUUAUUUGAUUUAUUAGCCACAGUUCCAAUUAUACAUUGCAUUAUGUUGUGCUAUCUUGCAUUAGUAAAUUAACUUUCCUCCUCA